GUGGUUGUCAUAGUAACCAGGAAGUUGUGUCAAAAACGUAAGAAUAACAAAUCAGCGAGAAGAGAAACAACCAAUAGAAUACAUAUAGACC